rnacentral:rRNA from 1 species
GAUGAACGCUGGCGGCGUGCUUAACACAUGCAAGUCGAACGAUGAAGCCCAGCUUGCUGGGUGGAUUAGUGGCGAACGGGUGAGUAACACGUGAGCAACCUGCCCCUGACUCUGGGAUAAGCGCUGGAAACGGCGUCUAAUACUGGAUAUGUCCCGUCACCGCAUGGUGUGCGGGUGGAAAGAUUUUUCGGUUGGGGAUGGGCUGGCGGCCUAUCAGCUUGUUGGUGAGGUAAUGGCUCACCACGGCGUCGACGGGUAGCCGGCCUGAGAGGGUGACCGGCCACACUGGGACUGAGACACGGCCCAGACUCCUACGGGAGGCAGCAGUGGGGAAUAUUGCACAAUGGGCGGAAGCCUGAUGCAGAAACGCCGCGUGAGGGAUGACGGCCUUCGGGUUGUAAACCUCUUUUAGCAGGGAAGAAGCGAAAGUGACGGUACCUGCAGAAAAAGCACCGGCUAACUACGUG